rnacentral:rRNA from 1 species
CCUACGGGAGGCAGCAGUAGGGAAUCUUGGUCAAUGGGCGCAAGCCUGAACCAGCGAUGCCGCGUGUGUGAAGAAGGCCCUAGGGUUGUAAAGCACUUUCAGCAGUGAAGAAACGCCGGGAGCUAAUACCUCCUCGGUCUUGACGUUAACUGCAGAAGAAGCACCGGCUAACUCCUUGCCAGCAGCCGCGGUAAUACGGAGGGUGCGAACGUUAAUCGGAAUUACUGGGCGUAAAGCGCGCGUAGGCGGUUUGAUAAGUGGGAUGUGAAAGCCCCGGGCUUAACCUGGGAACUGCAUUCCGAACUGUCAGGCUAGAGUAUGGUAGAGGGAGGUAGAAUUUCCUGUGUAGCGGUGAAAUGCGUAGAUAUCAGGAGGAACACCGGUGGCGAAGGCGGCCUUCUGGACGGAUACUGACGCUGAGACGCGAAAGCGUGGGGAGCAAACAGGAUUAGAUACCCUGGUAGUCCACGCCGUAAACGAUGUGAACUAGGGAUAGGGGGUGUUGAUCCCUCCUGUCCCGGAGCUAACGCAUUAAGUUUACCGCCUGGGGAGUACGGUCGCAAGAUUAAAACUCAAAGGAAUUGACGG